CCCGUGGGUCCCUAUGGGUCGCUAUGGGGCUCCAGCCCCACUUCCGCCCCCCUCCCCUCCGCUCCGUCCCCGUUCAUUCCCCUCAGUCCUCCAAAACACCACAGAGCCGCACCUCCACCGCGCUUAGAGCGCCGAGCGGGAGAGAAACCGGAAACCGCUCUGCCCACAACCGCGCCUGUCGCGCAGCGUGACGUCACGUCCGGCCCGCGGCAGUGAGGACGUCCAAGAUGGCGCUUCCCGCGGCCCUCCUGCGCGCGGCGGCGCUGCGAUGCCGCCGGUUGCCGUUGGCCAACGUCGGGAGGCGCCACCUGGCGGCGGAGGCCUUCGUGCGGGAUCGGCCCCACGUCAACGUGGGAACCAUCGGUCACGUGGACCACGGCAAGACCACCCUGACCGCCGCCAUCACCAAAGGUGGGCGGGGCUUAGCGGAGGGGGGCGGGGCUUAAAGCAGGAAG